rnacentral:rRNA from 1 species
UACGUAGGGGGCAAGCGUUAUCCGGAUUUACUGGGUGUAAAGGGAGCGUAGACGGUUAUGCAAGUCAGAAGUGAAAGCCCAAAGCUCAACUUCGGGACUGCUUUUGAAACUGUGUAACUAGAGUGCAGGAGGGGUAAGCGGAAUUCCUAGUGUAGCGGUGAAAUGCGUAGAUAUUAGGAGGAACACCGGCGGCGAAGGCGGCUUACUGGACUGUAGCUGACGUUGAGGCUCGAAAGCGUGGGGAGCAAACAGG